GACGAACGCUUGCGGCGUGCUUAACACAUGCAAGUCGAACGGAAAGGCCCUGCUUUUGUGGGGUGCUCGAGUGGCGAACGGGUGAGUAACACGUGAGUAACCUGCCCUUGACUUUGGGAUAACUUCAGGAAACUGGGGCUAAUACCGGAUAGGAGCUCCUGCUGCAUGGUGGGGGUUGGAAAGUUUCGGCGGUUGGGGAUGGACUCGCGGCUUAUCAGCUUGUUGGUGGGGUAGUGGCUUACCAAGGCUUUGACGGGUAGCCGGCCUGAGAGGGUGACCGGCCACAUUGGGACUGAGAUACGGCCCAGACUCCUACGGGAGGCAGCAGUGGGGAAUAUUGCACAAUGGGCGGAAGCCUGAUGCAGCAACGCCGCGUGCGGGAUGACGGCCUUCGGGUUGUAAACCGCUUUCGCCUGUGACGAAGCGUGAGUGACGGUAAUGGGUAAAGAAGCACCGGCUAACUACGUGCCAGCAGCCGCGGUGAUACGUAGGGUGCGAGCGUUGUCCGGAUUUAUUGGGCGUAAAGGGCUCGUAGGUGGUUGAUCGCGUCGGAAGUGUAAUCUUGGGGCUUAACCCUGAGCGUGCUUUCGAUACGGGUUGACUUGAGGAAGGUAGGGGGAGAAUGGAAUUCCUGGUGGAGCGGUGGAAUGCGCAGAUAUCAGGAGGAACACCAGUGGCGAAGGCGGUUCUCUGGGCCUUUCCUGACGCUGAGGAGCGAAAGCGUGGGGAGCGAACAGGCUUAGAUACCCUGGUAGUCCACGCUGUAAACGGUGGGUACUAGGUGUGGGGUCCAUUCCACGGGUUCCGUGCCGUAGCUAACGCUUUAAGUACCCCGCCUGGGGAGUACGGCCGCAAGGCUAAAACUCAAAGGAAUUGACGGGGCCCCGCACAAGCGGCGGAGCAUGCGGAUUAAUUCGAUGCAACGCGUAGAACCUUACCUGGGUUUGACAUGGAUCGGGAGUGCUCAGAGAUGGGUGUGCCUCUUUUGGGGUCGGUUCACAGGUGGUGCAUGCCUGUCGUCAGCUCGUGUCGUGAGAUGUUGGGUUAAGUCCCGCAACGAGCGCAACCCUUGUUCACUGUUGCCAGCACGUUAUGGUGGGGACUCAGUGGAGACCGCCGGGGUCAACUCGGAGGAAGGUGGGGAUGACGUCAAGUCAUCAUGCCCCUUAUGUCCAGGGCUUCACGCAUGCUACAAUGGCUGGUACAGAGAGUGGCGAGCCUGUGAGGGUGAGCGAAUCUCGGAAAGCCGGUCUCAGUUCGGAUUGGGGUCUGCAACUCGACCUCAUGAAGUCGGAGUCGCUAGUAAUCGCAGAUCAGCAACGCUGCGGUGAAUACGUUCCCGGG
rnacentral:rRNA from 1 species